CGCGGGAAGGCGGCUGGGGAGGCUCGGCCGCAGGAGGGCGGCGGCCGCGCUCUGGGAGCCUCGUUGGUGUGGUGGUUUUGUUCUCGCCUCAGGAACUCGCUAGAAAGCCUCCGGGGACCUCACACGUCGUGCCUGGACCUGUGCCUGGCUCACAGUAGGGGCUCAAUAAAUACCAGAUGAAAGAGGAAUGAACCUCGACUAUGUUCUGUGGGCCUUCAUGCCAACAGCUGGGUCUUGGCUGGCUGGUGCCUUUGUGAGCCUCCUUACCUACCUCAGUGAUAAAGGUCAUUUCGAUAGGCUUUUGGUUGAGCUUGUCUGAGGAAAUCACAGAACAUCUCAUCUAGAAUGGCCUGUAUGCUGCAGAUGAAGAAACUCAAAUAUAUGGAGAGUGAGAAGAUGGCCAUUUGCAAACCAGGAGGAGAGGCUUCACCAGAAUCUGCCCAUGCUGGCACCCUGAUCUUGGACUUCCGGCGUCCAGAACUGUGAGAAAUUUCUGUUGUUCAAGCCCCCCAGUCCAUGGUAUUUUGUUACGACAGCCCAAGCUGACCAAGACAAUACCACACAAUGGCUUUUCUGAUACAACUUUGUCUCAGGGUUAAGCUAUAGCCAUAGCCACGCUGGUCACCCUGCCGCAGGUCCUGGACAGAAGAACCUUUGUGGAGAGGAUUUAGAAACUACAGAGAAAGCCGUGUCCUCACUACUGUGCCGUCAGUUCUGGAAACCGAGUGGAUACACAGUUUCUUGUUGGGCGUUCAGGUGAAGAG
rnacentral:lncRNA from 1 species